ensembl:lncRNA
UUCUUUUUCUGUGCUGGGUCUUUGUUGUUGCAGGUGGACUGUCUCUGGUUGCAGAGAGCUAGGGCUUCUCUUCACUGUGGUGCCACAGCUUCUCAUUGCAGUAGCUUUUCCUGUUGCAGAGCACAGGCUCUAGAGCCAGGGGGCUCAGUAGUGUGGCUCUUGAGGGCUUAUUUGCCCUUGGGUAUGUGGAAUAUUCUCAGACCAUGGAUUGAACCUGUGACAGGCAGAUUCUUAACUGUUGGACCACCAGGGAAGUUCUAGGUUUCUUUUUGUGUGAGAAAACCUCCCACUAAUGUUUAAUUUUAGUGUUUUAUAUUGACUCUAUCAGAAGUCCUUCCCUUAUUUGCAGGUAAAUGCAUUCCUAACAGAGUUUAAACAGGAAUUUAUUUUUUAUUUAAAACCAUGUAUAAUUUUAUAUGUUAAAACCCAGGAAGGUAAAGUGUGAUUCUCAGUUUUCUUCAGUUGAGACUUAAAUUGAGGUUUAAUAAUAAAAGCUAAGUCAGGGCUGAUUCCUGUUACCUCAUGGACUAUAUGCCACCAGGCUUCUUUGUCCGUGGCAUUUCCCAGGUGAGUGGAAUGGUGCCUGAGGAGGUAAGAACAAAAGCACAUUGAGAGGAAGGAGGGAUGACAGACUCAGUUCUAGAGGACCCAAUGGGAUUUGCUCUCAGGGACACCUACAGACUUCCUUACCCAUGUUCAAGUUGGCCCCUGGACUAAGUGACCUGUGGCUGACUUGAAAGAAACUCACCUUUGUAAACACUGUUCCGUGAAUUAUACCUAACUCUAGAAGAAGAAAUCAAACUUAAAAUGGAAGGAUCUGAAUUCCCUGACCAGUGAUUGAAACUGUGCUCCCUGCAGUGGAAGUGUGGAGUCUUAACUACCGGACCAUCAGGGACUUACCUGGUAGUUGUAUUUUUAAUUUUAGGGGAAACCUCUAAACUUUCUUUGUAUCCUCCUCUGGACCUAAUAUAAGAUAAGAAAUCCAAUUAUACUAAAGGCAAGAGAGCAGAUGAGAUAUUAACAUGUGUAUGCCCAGCACAAAGAGAGAGAUUUUUACAUAGUUCCUAUGCAAUCACAUGGAAAAGAAAUGCAAAAAAGCAAAACUGCUGUCUGGGGAGGCACUACAAAUAGCUGUGAAAAGAAGAGAAGUGAAAAGCAAAGGAGAAAAGGAAAGAUAUAAGC